rnacentral:rRNA from 1 species
UACGAAGGGGGCUAGCGUUGCUCGGAAUCACUGGGCGUAAAGGGUGCGUAGGCGGGUCUUUAAGUCAGGGGGGAAAUCCUGGAGCUCAACUCCAGAACUGCCUUUGAUACUGAAGAUCUUGAGUUCGGGAGAGGUGCGUGGAACUGCGAGUGUAGAGGUGAAAUUCGUAGAUAUUCGCAAGAACACCAGUGGCGAAGGCGGCUCACUGGCCCGAUACUGACGCUGAGGCACGAAAGCGUGGGGAGCAAACAGG